GCAGUCUUCUCUCAAUUUCUUGAAUUUAAAAUGGAAUUCAAGGAAGAUGAAGACUCCCAUCAACACCCAAACCCAAAUGCUCAAUCUUGAACCUAUCUGAACUCAUCACUAAAAUCCUCCUAAGGCUUCCGGUGAAAUCCCUCUUGGAAUUCAGGUGACUGAACUUUCUCCGGAACAUGUCAAGAGCGUAACUGGUGGAUAUGCAAGAAGCAGAUAUGCAUCAACCCUGUCAUAGUUGGUUUAAAAACUGUCAAAGGAACCAAACAGUUUGAAGCUUUAGCCUACUAUAUAUGAUGCCUUGAUUAAAGAAAAGAAAUGCAAGGUAAGGCUGCGCACAAUGGAUUCUUGUGGUCCGGCUCUUCCCCGAACCCCGCGCAUAGCGGGAGCUUAGUGCACCGGGCUGCCCCUUAUACACUUUUCAAAAGAAAUAUAUUAAUAAAAGACAUGUUUGUCUGUGAAAUGUGAACUAUAAACUAUGGUUUUAUAUUUUGGAGGGGUAAAGGUAACUUGCCUUACUGAUUUCAUCAAGAAACAUCCAUCAACAUGGAUUCUUCAUAUUGCUACUUUUAUAUAAAAGUGCUCAGUGUAAUAUUUUAAUUUUUACUCC